rnacentral:tRNA from 1 species
CCCUGGGUGGCAAAAUGGUUAAGCGCUUGGCUAUUAACCAAAAGAUUGGCGGUUCAAACCCACCCAGAGGCA